rnacentral:piRNA from 1 species
UUUGAAGAUAGAGCUUUGCCA